rnacentral:rRNA from 1 species
GAUGAACGCUGGCGGCGUGCCUAAUACAUGCAAGUCGAGCGAACAGAUGAGGAGCUUGCUCCUCUGACGUUAGCGGCGGACGGGUGAGUAACACGUGGAUAACCUACCUAUAAGACUGGGAUAACUUCGGGAAACCGGAGCUAAUACCGGAUAAUAUAUUGAACCGCAUGGUUCAAUAGUGAAAGACGGUUUUGCUGUCACUUAUAGAUGGAUCCGCGCCGCAUUAGCUAGUUGGUAAGGUAACGGCUUACCAAGGCAACGAUGCGUAGCCGACCUGAGAGAGUGAUCGGCCACACGGGAACGGAGACACGGUCCAGACGCCUACGGGAGGCAGCAGUAUGGAAUCUGCCGCAAUGGGCGAAAGCCUGACGGAGCAACGCCGCGUGAGUUAUGAAGGUCUUCGGAUCGUAAAACUCUGUUAUUAGGUAAGAACAAAUGUGGAAGUAACUAUGCACGUCUUGACGGUACCUAAUCAGAAAGCCACGGCUAACUACGUG